rnacentral:tRNA from 1 species
GGGGCUGUAGCUCAGCUGGAUAGAGCGGACGCCUCCUAAGCGUCAGGCCGCCGGUUCGAACCUGGCCAGUCCCA